UUGCAGCCUAUUAAGCCGACCAGCGUUUGUUGAAAUCGAGCGAUGGUGUGCAAAGGCUGCGUCCAUUAAGUUCCUUGGCUGUGUAUGUGCUGUGUAUGUGCUCGGUUCACCAUAAAGAGCACUUAAAGGGGCCUUGGACACAGCC